rnacentral:rRNA from 1 species
CUUUACUGUAGCUUUACAUUGGACUUUGAACAGACCUGUGUAGGAUAGGUGGGAGGCUUUGAAGCGGUGCCGCUAGGUAUCGUGGAGCCAACGUUGAAAUACCACCCUGGUGUGUUUGAGGUUCUAACCUUGGCCCGUGAUCCGGGUUGGGGACAGUGUAUGGUAGGCAGUUUGACUGGGGCGGUCUCCUCCCAAAGCGUAACGGAGGAGUUCGAAGGUACGCUAGGCACGGUCGGAAAUCGUGCUGAUAGUGCAUAGGCAUAAGCGUGCUUGACUGCGAGACUGACAAGUCGAGCAGGUACGAAAGUAGGACUAAGUGAUCCGGUGGUUCUGUAUGGAAGGGCCAUCGCUCAACGGAUAAAAGGUA